UACGUAGGGGGCAAGCGUUGUCCGGAAUCAUUGGGCGUAAAGAGCGUGUAGGCGGCUUUACAGGUCCGUUGUGAAAACUCGAGGCUCAACCUCGAGACGCCGGUGGAAACCGUAAAGCUAGAGUCCGGAAGAGGAGAGUGGAAUUCCUGGUGUAGCGGUGAAAUGCGCAGAUAUCAGGAAGAACACCCGUGGCGAAGGCGGCUCUCUGGGACGGUACUGACGCUGAGACGCGAAAGCGUGGGGAGCGAACAGG
rnacentral:rRNA from 1 species